ensembl:snRNA U6 U6 spliceosomal RNA
GUGCUUGCUCUGGCAGCACAUAUACUAAAAUUGGAAUGAUGCAGAGAAGAUUAGCAUGGCCUCUCCACAAGGAUGACAUGGAAAUUUGUCAAGCAUGCCAUAUUUUG